GCCACUCAGCUCCGCCCCUCGCCCCGUCCCCCCGAGGGAGGGCCGCCUCCUGAUUGGCCGCUCGAGCGCCAGGCAGGAUGGGAUUGGAAGCCAAAUAUGGGCGGGAGAAGAGGGGCCAGGCGCUGGGCCUCCGGGAGGGAGACGCAACCCGGGGGCUGGGAAAGGCCCGAGAGUGUUGUUUUGGAUUCCUAACGAAUUUCCAGUGAAAGAGAAAUGGAGAGACAAGACAUUUUCAGAUCAUGUCAAAUCUUGUACAUUAAAAUAAGAGACGAAGAAAGUGGCCUCUCCAGUAACUACCCCAUUCCAGCUCAUUUCUUGUUGGAAUACAACCACCAAAUAGUAACCAAAUGGCUGAUGCCUGCUCACCGAUCCAGCACCCCUCUAACCUGUGUCUCAGGAUUGUCCUGUGUGAGUAUAAAGAGCAUGUGGCAAGGUGGAGGAGGGGAGAACUUUCUCUUUUGCCUUCUUGGAACUUUAAGAGUAAUAAAUUUAUACUUUAGCCAAGAGGGGUUUUUUGUUUUUUGGGUGUUUUUUUUUUUUUGGUAUGCUUACUUUUGUUUCUAGAAGAACAAUACGCGCCACAUGUGAUUUGUAUAAGAGAGGAUGCAGCAAAAUAAAAAUGUACAAAAAGUGAGAGUCUUUCCCCCU
rnacentral:lncRNA from 1 species